rnacentral:rRNA from 1 species
AUUGAACGCUGGCGGCAUGCCUUACACAUGCAAGUCGAACGGUAACAGGUCUUCGGAUGCUGACGAGUGGCGAACGGGUGAGUAAUACAUCGGAACGUGCCCGAUCGUGGGGGAUAACGAAGCGAAAGCUUUGCUAAUACCGCAUACGAUCUACGGAUGAAAGCAGGGGACCGCAAGGCCUUGCGCGAACGGAGCGGCCGAUGGCAGAUUAGGAAGUUGGUGGGAUAAAAGCUUACCAAGCCGACGAUCUGUAGCUGGUCUGAGAGGACGACCAGCCACACUGGGACUGAGACACGGCCCAGACUCCUACGGGAGGCAGCAGUGGGGAAUUUUGGACAAUGGGCGAAAGCCUGAUCCAGCCAUGCCGCGUGCAGGAUGAAGGCCUUCGGGUUGUAAACUGCUUUUGUACGGAACGAAAAGACUCUGGUUAAUACCUGGGGUCCAUGACGGUACCGUAAGAAUAAGCACCGGCUAACUACGUG